rnacentral:rRNA from 1 species
AUACGGGGGUGGCGAGCGUUACUCGGAAUUAUUGGGUGUAAAGGGUAAGUAGGCGGUCUAUUAAGUGAGGGGUGAAAUCCUCCGACUCAAUCGGAAAAUUGCCUUUCAAACUAGUAGACUUGAGACUGGAAGAGGGAAAUGGAAUUAGCAGUGUAAGGGUGAAAUCUGUAGAUAUUGCUAAGAACACCAGCGGCGAAGGCGGUUUCCUGGUCCAAGUCUGACGCUAAAUUACGAAAGCUAGGGGAGCAAACAGAAUUAGAUACCCCGGUAGUCC